rnacentral:rRNA from 1 species
UACAGAGGGUGCGAGCGUUAAUCGGAAUUACUGGGCGUAAAGCGUGCGUAGACGGUUAUUUAAGUCGGGUGUGAAAGCCCCGGGCUCAACCUGGGAAUUGCAUUCGAGACUGAAUAGCUGGGGUACGGUAGAGGGAAGUGGAAUUUCCGGUGUAGCGGUGAAAUGCGUAGAUAUCGGAAGGAACAUCAGUGGCGAAAGCGACUUCCUGGACCAGUACCGACGUUCAGGCACGAAAGCGUGGGGAGCAAACAGG